rnacentral:tRNA from 1 species
GUUACAGUGGCCGAGUGGUUAAGGCGAUGCCCUGCUAAGGCAUUGGACUUUGUCUUCGCAGGUUCGAAUCCUGUCUGUGACG